UACGUAGGGGGCAAGCGUUGUCCGGAUUUAUUGGGCGUAAAGAGCGUGUAGGCGGCCAGACAGGUCUGCUGUGAAAACUCGAGGCUCAACCUCGAGACGCCGGUGGAAACCGUCUGGCUAGAGUCCGGAAGAGGAGAGUGGAAUUCCUGGUGUAGCGGUGAAAUGCGCAGAUAUCAGGAAGAACACCCGUGGCUAAGGCGGCUCACUGGCCCGGUACUGACGCUGAGGUGCGAAAGCGUGGGGAGCAAACAGG
rnacentral:rRNA from 1 species